GGCCAGUUAGCUCAGUUGGUUAGAGCGUGGUGCUGAUAACACCAAGGUCGCGGGUUCGAUCCCUGUUUGGUCC
rnacentral:tRNA from 1 species